AGUGAACGCUGGCGGUAGGCCUAACACAUGCAAGUCGAACGGCAGCACAGUAAGGGCUUGCUCUUACGGGUGGCGAGUGGCGGACGGGUGAGGAAUACAUCGGAAUCUACUUUUUCGUGGGGGAUAACGUAGGGGAACCUACGCUAAUACCGCAUACGACCUACGGGUGAAAGCAGGGGAUAUUCGGACCUUGCGCGAUUGAAUGAGCCGAUGUCGGAUUAGCUAGUUGGGGGGGUAAAGGCCCACCAAGGCGACGAUACGUAGCCGGUCUGAGAGGAUGAUCGGCCGCACUGGAACUUAGACACGGUCCAGGCUCCUACGGGAGGCAGCAGUGGGGAAUAUUGGACAAUGGGCGCAAGCCUGAUCCAGCCAUACCGCGUGGGUGAAGAAGGCCUUCCGGUUGUAAAGCCCUUUUGUUGGGAAAGAAAAGCAGCAGGUUAAUACCCCGCUGUUCUGACGGUACCCAAAGAAUAAGCACCGGCUAACUUCGUG
rnacentral:rRNA from 1 species